rnacentral:tRNA from 1 species
GUGGGUAUAGCUCAAUGGUAGAGCAAAUGCUUAGCAUGCAAGAGGUCCUCGGGUCAAUCCCCAGUAUCUCCA